GUCCACGCCCUAAACGAUGUCAACUUGUUGUCGGGGAAGAAAUUCCUUGGUAACGAAGCUAACGCGUGAAGUUGACCGCCUGGGGAGUACGGCCGCAAGGUUAAAACUCAAAGGAAUUGACGGGGACCCGCACAAGCGGUGGAUUAUGUGGAUUAAUUCGAUGCAACGCGAAAAACCUUACCUACCCUUGACAUGCUAGGAAGUCCGCAGAGAUGUGGAUGUGCCCGAAAGGGAACCUAGACACAGGUGCUGCAUGGCUGUCGU
rnacentral:rRNA from 1 species